rnacentral:rRNA from 1 species
UCGAGAAUCAUUCGCAAUGGGCGAAAGCCUGACGAUGCGACGCCGUGUGAGCGAUGAAGGCCUUCGGGUCGUAAAGCUCUUUCGCUUGGGAACAAGAAAGGCCGGCAAAUAACCGGCCAAUUUGAGGGUACCAGGUAAAGAAGCACCGGCUAACUCCGUGCCAGCAGCUGCGGUAAUACGGAGGGUGCAAGCAUUAAUCGGAUUUAUUGGGCGUAAAGGGCGCGUAGGCGGGAAAGUAAGUCAGACGUGAAAUCCCGGGGCUCAACCCCGGAACAGCAUUUGAAACUGCUUUUCUUGAGGAUAGAAGGAGAAAACGGAAUUCCACAUGUAGCGGUGAAAUGCGUAGAUAUGUGGAAGAACACCUGUGGCGAAGGCGGUUUUCUAUUUUAUACCUGACGCUAAAGCGCGAAAGCAAGGGGAUCAAACA